rnacentral:misc_RNA from 1 species
UUUCCGUAGGUGAACCUGCGGAAGGAUCAUUCAUACUAAAGCGUUUAUUGGCACUUUUUAAUAAUCCAUAUCCACUUUUUGUGCAAUGUUAGUUCUCCUCAAUCUUGCCGAGAUUUUUAUACAUCAACAAAAUUUUAACAACUUUGUCUGAAAAUUAUUAUAAAUACUUAAUUCAAAAUACAACUUUCAACAACGGAUCUCUUGGCUCUC